CACACUCUGAAGCUGCAGCUUUUCCUGGAUUCUCUUCUCAAUGACAAGCUGUUCAAACAGAGAACACCUAUCAAAACGAAUAUCAUCAUCUGCUCCUUUCUUUCUUCCUUUCAGGAUAUACUGCUGUCCAGCAGGGGAAGUAAUUAAUGAGUUUUUUAUGUAUGGCAGCGUCAUCCCAUCAGUUUGCUGUCUGGUUUGAAUAGCUCCUAUCAGCUCUUCAUUCAUGCCAAGUACGCUCACCGUCCAGAGACAUGAUAAAGCCGUACUUCCUUCUGGAUUUUUACCUCACUAUUCAAAAAACAGGGUACCAGAAGCAUGGGUUACAAAAGCAUGAGGAGGACAGAAGAAAUGCCUUCAUCUUCUACAGAAAGGAAGCUGAUGGACUGAAAAGUUCGUAUGGAGAAAGGAAAGCAAGAGUGCAAGAACAUCCAUGCUUCUAGUCCAGAUAAUGUUUUUUAAAGCAGCUUGAUUUGGAAGCGUGUGUAAUUCUGAAAUACGAACAAGCAGAACUUUUCCAGGGGGUCAAAUGCAUAUAGGAACAACCAGGAUUUCUCAUUGCUGAAGCAUUCAAUGAAUCUUUAAUAAGUUCUCAACACUCAGAUUGUUUGUGAUCAGAUCAACUGCUGUUACCAGAUAAAGGCAAAACUCACCCUUCUGGUUCUAUAAUCCUAUCCAAAUGGAGUCUUCAUCUACCGCAUACUAUCCUAACUAAUGCUACAGGAUUAUCAGGAAUACAGAUAUAAAGACACUGCAAGAAAUAAAACACUGGCAAAAUAAAACAUGAAAGGAAAGUAGAGAAGGCAUUUUGGGUCUCGAAGCUUACUAUUUCCAGCCAGAGUUCAAAUUACUGAGCUUCAAACAAACCACUGCCAGGGUGAAAAAAAAAUUGAAAACUGCUUCAAGUUUACAUCUCAUGGGUACAAAUGGAUGAGGGAUUUUAUGCUAGUACCUGAAGAUUUGGUUUAUUUAUAACAACUUUUCCCUGUUAUUGAUAGAUUUAACAAUUAAAGAGAUUCUGAACAGUCUUGGGAUGUAGUCAAUGACCUGCCUACUUGUUUCUGCAAUUUAGAAUGUAUUUCAUUCACACAUAUUAUAUAAAAGUAUUAUAUUGUAAAAGUAAUGUGAUUGUGUAUCAUUAGUUCCUUUCAUAGAAAUGGAGCAAAUAUUUUGGCUGCCAUAUCCUUAUAAUAAUACCUAUUGCUAUAUCCUUAAAUUCUGGUCAUUUUAAAUUAUCCAAAAGCUAUAAGCUUUUUAUUUAAACUAUGAUAAAAUAAAAAUGGCAUCUAGGUCAAAAUGAACACAUCCAUUUCGUGUAUGUUGACAUAACAAUCUUAAAAAGUAAUUUUUGUCUGAAAUACC
rnacentral:lncRNA from 1 species